GGUAAGGUGGCUCAGUGGUAGAGCGCUAGCCUUGCAUGCCUGAAGCCAUGGGUUC
rnacentral:tRNA from 1 species